GGAAUGUAGCUCAGUGGCACAGUGUCUGCCUGGCAAGCAGGAGUCCCUGAGUUCAAUUCUCAGUACCA
rnacentral:tRNA from 1 species